UACGGAGGAUGCGAGCGUUAUCCGGAUUUAUUGGGUUUAAAGGGUGCGCAGGCGGGAUUUUAAGUCAGCGGUGAAAUCUAGUGGCUCAACCACUAACUUGCCAUUGAAACUGAAGUUCUUGAGUAUAGACGAGGUAGGCGGAAUUCGUUGUGUAGCGGUGAAAUGCAUAGAUAUAACGAGGAACCCCGAUUGCGUAGGCAGCUUACCAGACUAUAACUGACGCUCAUGCACGAAAGUGUGGGUAUCAAAC
rnacentral:rRNA from 1 species